UACAGAGGGUGCGAGCGUUAAUCGGAAUUACUGGGCGUAAAGCGUGCGUAGACGGUAAUGUAAGUCAGAUGUGAAAGCCCCGGGCUCAACCUGGGAAUUGCAUUUGAGACUGCAUUGCUUGGGUGCGGAAGAGGGAAGCGGAAUUUCCGGUGGAGCGGUGAAAUGCGUAGAGAUCGGAAAGAACACCAACGGCAAAAGCACUCUGCUGGGCCGACACUGACACUGAGAGACGAAAGCUAGGGGAGCGAAUGGG
rnacentral:rRNA from 1 species